rnacentral:rRNA from 1 species
AUUGAACGCUGGCGGCAGGCCUAACACAUGCAAGUCGAACGGUAGCAGAAAGAAGCUUGCUUCUUUGCUGACGAGUGGCGGACGGGUGAGUAAUGUCUGGGAAACUGCCCGAUGGAGGGGGAUAACUACUGGAAACGGUAGCUAAUACCGCAUAACGUCUUCGGACCAAAGAGGGGGACCUUCGGGCCUCUUGCCAUCGGAUGUGCCCAGAUGGGAUUAGCUAGUAGGUGGGGUAACGGCUCACCUAGGCGACGAUCCCUAGCUGGUCUGAGAGGAUGACCAGCCACACUGGAACUGAGACACGGUCCAGACUCCUACGGGAGGCAGCAGUGGGGAAUAUUGCACAAUGGGCGCAAGCCUGAUGCAGCCAUGCCGCGUGUAUGAAGAAGGCCUUCGGGUUGUAAAGUACUUUCAGCGGGGAGGAAGGGAGUGAGGUUAAUAACCUCAUUCAUUGACGUUACCCGCAGAAGAAGCACCGGCUAACUCCGUGCCAGCAGCCGCGGUAAUACGGAGGGUGCAAGCGUUAAUCGGAAUUACUGGGCGUAAAGCGCACGCAGGCGGUCUGUCAAGUCGGAUGUGAAAUCCCCGGGCUCAACCUGGGAACUGCAUUCGAAACUGGCAGGCUUGAGUCUCGUAGAGGGGGGUAGAAUUCCAGGUGUAGCGGUGAAAUGCGUAGAGAUCUGGAGGAAUACCGGGGGGCGAAAGGCGCCCCCCUGGACGAAGACUGACGCUCAGGUGCGAAAGCGUGGGGAGCAAACAGGAUUAGAUACCCUGGUAGUCCACGCCGUAAACGAUGUCUACUUGGAGGCUGUGGUCUUGAACCGUGGCUUCCGGAGCUAACGCGUUAAGUAGACCGCCUGGGGAGUACGGCCGCAAGGUUAAAACUCAAAUGAAUUGACGGGGGCCCGCACAAGCGGUGGAGCAUGUGGUUUAAUUCGAUGCAACGCGAAGAACCUUACCUACUCUUGACAUCCAGAGAACUUAGCAGAGAUGCUUUGGUGCCUUCGGGAACUCUGAGACAGGUGCUGCAUGGCUGUCGUCAGCUCGUGUUGUGAAAUGUUGGGUUAAGUCCCGCAACGAGCGCAACCCUUAUCCUUUGUUGCCAGCGGUCCGGCCGGGAACUCAAAGGAGACUGCCAGUGAUAAACUGGAGGAAGGUGGGGAUGACGUCAAGUCAUCAUGGUCCUUACGAGUAGGGCUACACACGUGCUACAAUGGCGCAUACAAAGAGAAGCGACCUCGCGAGAGCAAGCGGACCUCAUAAAGUGCGUCGUAGUCCGGAUUGGAGUCUGCAACUCGACUCCAUGAAGUCGGAAUCGCUAGUAAUCGUGGAUCAGAAUGCCACGGUGAAUACGUUCCCGGGCCU